GAUGAACGCUAGCGGCAGGCUUAACACAUGCAAGUCGAGGGGCAGCAUGAGACGGAGAUUCGUCGAAGUCUUGAUGGCGACCGGCGCAAGGGUGCGUAACGCGUGAGCAACUUGCCCGUUUCAGGGGGAUAACCGUUGGAAACGACGACUAAUACCCCAUAGUAUCGUGAAGAGGCAUCUCUUUAUGAUUAAAGAAUUUCGGAAACGGAUAGGCUCGCGUGACAUUAGCUAGAUGGCGGGGUAACGGCCCACCAUGGCAACGAUGUCUAGGGGUUCUGAGAGGAAGGUCCCCCACACUGGAACUGAGACACGGUCCAG
rnacentral:rRNA from 1 species